GAUGAAGAACGCAGCGAAAUGCGAUAAGUAAUGUGAAUUGCAGAAUUCCGUGAAUCAUCGAAUCUUUGAACGCACAUUGCGUCCCCUGGCAUUCCGGGGGGCAUGCCUGUCCGAGCGUCAUUUCUGCCCUCCAGCCCGGCUGGGUGUUGGGCGCUGUCCCCCCGGGGACACGCCCCAAAGGCAGUGGCGGCGCCGCGUCAGGUCCUCGAGCGUAUGGGGCUUUGUCACCCGCUCGGGACGGACUCGUCGGCGCUGGUCUUCCUCCAGGCGACCCUUCGGGGCUCGUCUUCCUUCGGUUGACCUCGGAUCAGGUAGGGUUACCCGCUGAACUUAAGCAUAUCAAUAAGCGGAGGA
rnacentral:misc_RNA from 1 species